GCCAGCAGUGAGGAAUUUUGGACAAUGCGCGAAAGCGUGAUCCAGUAAUACUGCGUGAAUGAGGAAAGCAAAAAAGAUUCGUGGUAUAUUUAUUUAUAUUUUCGAAUCGGUUGUAAAAUUCUUUCGCUGAUGAAGAUGAUGACUUUAUUCAGAGAAGAAGCCCCGGCUAACUUCGUGCCAGCAGCCGCGGUAAUACGAGGGGGGCGAGCGUUAUCCGGAAUUAUUGGGCGUAAAGUGUUUGUAGGCGGUAUUUGUUGUUAUAUAUCAAAUUCUAGGUUUGUUGCUUAGGUCUAUAUAUAAUACUCUUUUACUUGAGUCGGGCAGGGGACAAUAGAAUUUCAUACAUAGGAGUGAAAUCCAACCAUUUAUGAAGGAAUGCCAUUAGCGAAAGCGAUUGUCUGGGCCUGUUACUGACGCUGAGAAACGAAAGCAUAGGGAGCAAACAGGAUUAGAUACCCUGGUAGUCUAUGCUGUCAAAGAUGAGUGCUAAUAUUAGGAG
rnacentral:rRNA from 1 species